GAUGAACGCUGGCGGCGUGCCUAACACAUGCAAGUCGAACGUGAGGGGGUAGCAAUAUCCCUGAAAGUGGCGCACGGGUGAGUAAUACGUAGGUGACCUGCCCUGGAGAGGGGGAUAACAGCUAGAAAUGGCUGCUAAUACCGCAUACUGCUGUGACACUGGGAAGUGACAUGGUAAAAACUCUGGUGCUUCAGGCGGGGCCUGCGGCCGAUUAGCUAGUUGGCGGGGUAAGAGCCCACCAAGGCAGUGAUCGGUAGCUGGUCUGAGAGGACGAUCAGCCACACGGGAACUGAGACACGGUCCCGACUCCUACGGGGGGCAGCAGUGAGGAAUAUUGGGCAAUGGGCGCAAGCCUGACCCAGCAACGCCGCGUGGAGGAAGACGGCCUUCGGGUUGUAAACUCCUUUUACGGGGGAAGAGGAAGGACGGUACCCCGCGAAUAAGUCACGGCUAACUACGUGCCAGCCGCCGCGGUAA
rnacentral:rRNA from 1 species